UACAGGGGGGGCAAGCGUUGUUCGGAAUUACUGGGCGUAAAGGGCUCGUAGGCGGCCAACUAAGUCCGACGUGAAAUCCCAAAGCUUAACUUUGGAACUGCGUCGGAUACUGGAUGGCUUGAAUUCGGGAGAGGGAUGCAGAAUUCCAGGUGUAGCGGUGAAAUGCGUAGAUAUGUGGAGGAAUACCGAUGGCGAAGGCAGCCCCCUGGGAUAACACUGACGCUCAUGCACGAAAGCGUGGGGAGCAAACAGG
rnacentral:rRNA from 1 species